CCUACGGGAGGCAGCAGUGGGGAAUUUUGGACAAUGGGCGCAAGCCUGAUCCAGCCAUGCCGCGUGUGGGAAGAAGGCCUUCGGGUUGUAAACCACUUCUGUCAGGGAAGAAACGGCUUUUUCUAAUACAGAGAGCUAAUGACGGUACCUGAAGAAUAAGCACCGGCUAACUACGUGCCAGCAGCCGCGGUAAUACGUAGGGUGCAAGCGUUAAUCGGAAUUACUGGGCGUAAAGCGUGCGCAGGCGGCUUUGCAAGACAGAUGUGAAAUCCCCGGGCUCAACCUGGGAACUGCAUUUGUGACUGCAUGGCUAGAGUACGGUAGAGGGGGAUGGAAUUCCGCGUGUAGCAGUGAAAUGCGUAGAUAUGCGGAGGAACACCGAUGGCGAAGGCAAUCCCCUGGACCUGUACUGACGCUCAUGCACGAAAGCGUGGGGAGCAAACAGGAUUAGAUACCCUGGUAGUCCACGCCCUAAACGAUGUCAACUGGUUGUUGGACGGCUUGCUGUUCAGUAACGAAGCUAACGCGUGAAGUUGACCGCCUGGGGAGUACGGCCGCGAAGGUUGAAACGUCAAAGGAAUUGACGG
rnacentral:rRNA from 1 species